rnacentral:rRNA from 1 species
UAAUAGCGUAUAUUAAAGUUGUUGCAGUUAAAAAGCUCGUAGUCGGAUGUCGGGCUCGGAGAGGCUGUCGGCCUUUGGUCGGACGGCAUCUCCGGGCCUUUCUGCCUGGGGAUCCUACUCUGCUUAACCGCAGGGUAGUGGGACGCAGGCCGUUUACUUUGAAAAAAUUAGAGUGUUCAAAGCAGGCCUACGCUUGAAUACAUUAGCAUGGAAUAAUGGAAUAGGACUUUGGUCUUAUUUGUUGGUUUAUGGGACCGAAGUAAUGAUUAACAGGGACAGUUGGGGCCGUUUAUAUUUCGUUGUCAGAGGUGAAAUUCUUGGAUUUACGAAAGAUAAACCUCUGCGAAAGCAUUCGGCAAGGAUGUUUNCAUUG